AUUGAACGCUGGCGGCAGGCCUAACACAUGCAAGUCGAACGAGGGGCGGACGGGUGAGUAAUGUCUGGGAAACUGCCUGAUGGAGGGGGAUAACUACUGGAAACGGUAGCUAAUACCGCAUACCAUCGGAUGUGCCCAGAUGGGAUUAGCUGGUAGGUGGGGUAAAGGCUGACCUAGGCGACGAUCCCUCGCUGGUCUGAGAGGAUGACCAGCCACACGGGGACUGAGACACGGUCCAGACUCCUACGGGAGGAAGCAGUGGGGAAUAGUGCACAAUGGGCGAAAGCCUGAUGCAGCCAUGCCGCGUGUAUGAAGAAGGCCUUCGGGUUGUAAAGUACUUUCAGCGGAGAGGCGUUACCCGCAGAAGAAGCACCGGCUAACUCCGGGCCAGCAGCCGCGGUAAUAC
rnacentral:rRNA from 1 species